rnacentral:rRNA from 1 species
GACGAACGCUGGCGGCGUGCUUAACACAUGCAAGUCGAACGGAAAGGCCCUGCUUUUGUGGGGUGCUCGAGUGGCGAACGGGUGAGUAACACGUGAGUAACCUGCCCUUGACUUUGGGAUAACUUCAGGAAACUGGGGCUAAUACCGGAUAGGAGCUCCUGCUGCAUGGUGGGGGUUGGAAAGUUUCGGCGGUUGGGGAUGGACUCGCGGCUUAUCAGCUUGUUGGUGGGGUAGUGGCUUACCAAGGCUUUGACGGGUAGCCGGCCUGAGAGGGUGACCGGCCACAUUGGGACUGAGAUACGGCCCAGACUCCUUCGGGAGGCAGCAGUGGGGAAUAUUGCACAAUGGGCGGAAGCCGGAUGCAGCAACGCCGCGUGCGGGAUGACGGCCUGCGGGUUGUAAACCGCUUUCGCCUGGGACGAAGCGUGAGUGACGGUAAUGAGUAAAGAAGCACCGGCUAACUACGUG